AACACAAACCAUACAGGACCCUAGAGUAUGUUUCCACUUGUGCUGAGAUGUAGAAGAUGUAGAUGAAAGUGCCAUUGCAGUAUUUAUGUAGAAUAAAAUACAAUUGCAGUAUAUGCUAGCAACAGGUUGCAGUAUAUAUGUAGAACAAUAACCCUUCCAGAAUGUCAUCAAAUAACUACCAUUUCUGUCUUCAUGAUUUUUGCCAUUCAAUAGUUGCAUAUGGGGAAUUCAAAAAGCACGGUUGGCGAACAUCAACCUGAAGAUGACGUAACUACAGGUCUUACAAGCGGGAGAAGUGAUGCAGAACACAAUGCGAGCAUCAUACCCGUAGCUGAAAUUGUUGAUAACGUCUACUCGACGGAAUCAGUCCUUACGGGCGGGAUAAAUGUUGGAGACUACAAUGCAAACUUCAUACCCUUACAUGCAGGUAUAAGACUGUGUCAAGAUUAUUGCUGCUAAUGUUUCGUGCAUACCGUAUAUUUUGUUGAUUGCUAAGAUGUAGGGCGGGAACCUUCAAACGACGGGAUUCCGCCGUAUUCUGAGAAUAAUAAGGAUGGUACGACUAAGCUACGAGAUGAUACUCAAGGUAUUCACAGGCAUGCUUAUACAGCUUCCAAAUCGACAUCUCCCAGAUGAGCUUAAUGGGCUUUGUGGUUUUUACGCUUAACGUAAUGCAGAUGACAAAACUUCCGAGCAGCAUGCAACAGUAGCUAUAUUUAAUGAAGAAAAAAAACGUUGGCGAAACAAGGGAGUAGUUCAACGCACAGAGGCGUGAAUCUUAUCGGAAGAAAAAAGAGGAGGAUAUGGUCAGGUUACAAGAGUAUAAUCAGCCAUCCCUUUCAAAGACUGACCAUAGGGAUCUUAUCAACGCGUGGAGGCGGGCAUCUUAUCGCACUAAGAAGUCAGAUGGUUUUAUAAACCAUCUAGACGAUGGGCCGAUUGUUCACCGCCGUACCCAACCAUAACUCAUCGUAAGGUGGCCACCAAGCAAUUAGACCAGGAUGUCGUGAAGAAGUUAGUAGACAUACUCAAAGAAAACCCGUACUCCCAGCAAUUUAGGAGUUUGGGUGCACACAAGGACAACCUCGAUGAUUAUAGGAUAGACCUAAACACCGAUAAGAGGCUUGACCAAAGAAGAUAUAAUAGACCAUUGUCAUCUGAGGUCGCUGCAAUUUGGGUUGAGGGCAACGACCUAGCAAAAAGGUUUGACCGGAGGAUAACACUUUGUGGUAACAACAACGAAAGGCAUAGUAUACGUGUGACCUCCGGAGCAUAUGACCCGUUGUCUUAUCCCCUAUUCUAUCCAAGGGGGGAGCUAGGUUGGCAUCCAAAGCUACUUAAACGUAAUGUAAUGGAGGAGGUUGUACUACAUUCUCAACUGGUCCAUGAUGAUGAUGAGGAUGCAGGUAUGCCGUCUGCGUCCCAUUUUGCUACAAAUAAUAUCUUAUUUCUCGAAUAUAUCCUCAUUUUGAUG